UACGUAGGGCGCAAGCGUUAUCCGGAAUCAUUGGGCGUAAAGAGCGUGUAGGCGGCCCGGUAAGUCCGCUGUGAAAGUCCAGGGCUCAACCCUGGGAUGCCGGUGGAAACUGUCUGGCUAGAGUCCGGAAGAGGAGAAUGGAAUUCCUGGUGUAGCGGUGAAAUGCGUAGAGAUCGGCAGGAACACCCAGGGGGAAACCAGUCGACUGGGCAUCUACUGACGCUGAGGUGCGAGAGCGUGGGGAGCGAACCGG
rnacentral:rRNA from 1 species